GCUACGGGAGGCUGCAGUGGGGAAUAUUGGACAAUGGGGGCAACCCUGAUCCAGCCAUGCCGCGUGUGUGAAGAAGGCCCUCGGGUUGUAAAGCACUUUCAGUGAGGAAGAACGCCUGGUGGUUAAUACCCAUCAGGAAAGACAUCACUCACAGAAGAAGCACCGGCUAACUCCGUGCCAGCAGCCGCGGUAAGACGGAGGGUGCGAGCGUUAAUCGGAAUUACUGGGCGUAAAGCGCGCGUAGGUGGCUUGAUAAGCCGGUUGUGAAAGCCCCGGGCUCAACCUGGGAACGGCAUCCGGAACUGUCAAGCUAGAGUGCAGGAGAGGAAGGUAGAAUUCCCGGUGUAGCGGUGAAAUGCGUAGAGAUCGGGAGGAAUACCAGUGGCGACGGCGGCCUUCUGGACUGACACUGACACUGAGGUGCGAAAGCGUGGGUAGCAAACAGGAUUAGAUACCCUAGUAGUC
rnacentral:rRNA from 1 species